rnacentral:rRNA from 1 species
AAAGCCCAGAUCGUUUACCGUGAAAAAAUUAGAGUGUUCAAAGCAGGCAGAUCCAAUUUUCUGCCACCGAAUACAUUAGCAUGGGAUAAUGGAAUAGGACCCUGUCCUCCUAUUUUCAGUUGGUUUUGGCAGCGCGAGGACUAGGGUAAUGAUUAAUAGGGAUAGUUGGGGGCAUUAAUAUUUAAUUGUCAGAGGUGAAAUUCUUGGAUUUAUGAAAGAUUAACUUCUGCGAAAGCAUCUGCCAAGGAUGUUUUCAUUAAUCAAGAACGAAAGUUAGGGGAUCGAAGACGAUCAGAUACCGUCGUAGUCUUAMCCAUKGACGAUGCCGACCAGCGAUUAGGAGACGUUGAAUACACCUCCCCYCCAUCGGUGCGGUCGUCCUUGGCGCGUUGGUCUUCAAAAGCCMGCGCGCG